CCUACGGGCGGCUGCAGUGAGGAAUAUUGCGCAAUGGGCGAAAGCCUGACGCAGCGACGCCGCGUGAGGGAUGAAGGUCUUCGGAUCGUAAAACUCUGUCAGCAGGGGAGCACAGUCACUGUGCUAAUCAGCAGUGAAUUGACGGUACCUGCAAAGGAAGCACCGGCUAAAUCCGUGCCAGCAGCCGCGGUAAUGCGGAGGGUGCGAGCGUUAAUCGGAAUUACUGGGCGUAAAGCGCUCGUAGGCGGUAUGUCAAGGCAAGGGGGAAAUCCCCGAGCCUAACGUGGGAACUGCCGUUGAAACUGGCAAACUGGAGUGGGUGAGAGGAUAGUGGAAUUCCAGGUGUAGGAGUGAAAUCCGUAGAUAUCUGGAGGAACAUCAGUGGCGAAGGCGACUAUCUGGCACAUAACUGACGCUGAGGAGCGAAAGCGUGGGUAGCAAACAGGAUUAGAUACCCCUGUAGUC
rnacentral:rRNA from 1 species